AUGUUACACUUUUUCAAAAUAUUGGCAAUUCCUCUGUAUUAUGAAGUUGAAGUUUAUCCAUAUGCAAACUAUGAUCAGUUCAUUCAUAUGCUGCUGCUCUUGAAUUUAGUUCAUUCAUAUGCUGCUGCUCAUGAAAAUUUGCACAUUGCACCACCUAACUUUGCCUGGUUCUUAGGUCAUGGUGCAAAUGAAACUGUUUAUAUACUGCUUGUUACUAACAUUGGUGGUUUCUUGGAUUGA